rnacentral:rRNA from 1 species
CUGGCGGCGUGGAUAAGACAUGCAAGUCGAGCGCUGAUUGCAGGGUAGCAAUAUUCUGCAGUGGAGCGGCGCAAGGGUGCGUAACACGUGGGUAAUCUGCCAUGAAGUUUGGGAUAACUUGCUGAAAGGCGAGCUAAUACCGGAUGUGAAAAUUGGAAGGCAUCCUUUGAUUUUCAAAGCUGGGGAUCCGCAAGGACCUGGCGCUUCAUGAUGAGCCCGCGGCCUAUCAGCUAGUUGGUAAGGUAACGGCUUACCAAGGCUAAGACGGGUAGCUGGUCUGAGAGGACGACCAGCCACACUGGAACUGAGACACGGUCCAGACACCUACGGGUGGCAGCAGUCGAGAAUUUUUCGCAAUGGGCGCAAGCCUGAUGGAGCGACGCCGCGUGGGGGAUGAAUGGCUUCGGCCCGUAAACCCCUGUCAUUUGCGAACAAAUUGCUUUACCCAACACGUGGAGCAUUGAUAGUAGCGAAAGAGGAAGGGACGGCUAACUCUGUGCCAGCAGCCGCGGUAAUACAGAGGUCCCAAGCGUUGUUCGGAUUCACUGGGCGUAAAGGGUGCGUAGGUGGCAGGGUAAGUCGGAUGUGAAAUCUCCGAGCUCAACUCGGAAACUGCAUUGGAAACUACCCAGCUCGAGGGUUGGAGGGGGGACUGGAAUGCUUGGUGUAGCAGUGAAAUGCGUAGAUAUCAAGCGGAACACCAGUGGCGAAGGCGAGUCCCUGGACAACUCCUGACACUGAGGCACGAAAGCUAGGGGAGCAAACAGGAUUAGAUACCCUGGUAGUCC